UACGGAGGAUGCAAGCGUUAUUCGGAAUGAUUGGGCGUAAAGCGUCAGCAGGUGGCAAUGUAAGUCUGCUGUCAAAGCGUCUGGCUCAACCAGAUAAAGGCAGUGGAAACUACAUAGCUAGAGUAAGGUAGGGGUAGAGGGAAUUCCUGGUGUAGCGGUGAAAUGCGUAGAGAUCAGGAAGAACACCGGUGGCGAAAGCGCUCUGCUGGACCUUAACUGACACUGAGGGACGAAAGCGUGGGGAGCGAACAGG
rnacentral:rRNA from 1 species